GGGCUGCUUGCUGGGCUUUGAACACCUCAUCCCCACCAGGGACCCCUGAAGCUCCUCGAACCUGAGAUAAGGUCACAGAUUAACCCUAGGAGAUAAUUAAAUCUGAAUUGUCGACUGUACACCGGUAUGGUUGUCCUUUCUGGAAGAGGACCAAAGCAACACCUUCAUGUUACGAGUGACAGUGCAGCCUAUUGUGAACGAUCAGACCAAUAGGAGGUCGGAACGUCUGCCACAGGUGGGGCACAAACAGUCUCUGCGAACAUACGAAUGGGAUGCAAAGCGCAAAGAACACCGACUAGAGCUUUGGAUUCCGUUUCUGCUCCUUUACUGUGUGACCUUGAGCGGUACAACGAGCAUUUAUCAAUCAUUCCAUCUUUAGUUCUACGAUCCCACCAAUAAACUAUUUCCUCCUCUCUACCCCGCUCUUAUGGGGUGUAACAUAAACACACGUAAGUCAGCGUGAACACGGAGGGGGGCGUGGAGUAAAGCAGUAACAGCUGACUCGUGUACAGCGCUCUGAGCUUUGCAAGGCGCUUUACAUGUUACCUCAGGGGGCGCCUGGGCUCUAGAAAGAGGCCAGGGAUUACGGAAGGCGCCCCACGCGAGACCGCGGGGGGCGGGGGUAAGAGACGGCCCUCCGCACGCGGGCAACCCUUAGAAGCCAAUCUGACGCAAAGAGAAAGUUAGCGGGGAAAAACAUAGGACUGGAAAGGGAGGCGGCCCGGUCCAAAAUCGGGCUAGGCGGGGCAGAGGGAGGCAGGUGCGGAGAAGCCCAAGGUUCGCUCAGCUCAAGCCGGGGACGGAAGGCGCACCUCACCCUCACCUCACCUGUAGCCGGGCGGCAGCCCCGGUUACGCGUCGCGUCACCCCAAGGGCAGCCCAGGCAAUGACAGCCGCCAUAGCGGCCCCGGAACCACCGUCUGGCCCCAGCUCCUCAGACCCCUG